GUGGGGAAUUUUGGACAAUGGGCGCAAGCCUGAUCCAACAAUGCCGCGUGCAGGAAGAAGGCCUUCGGGUUGUAAACUGCUUUUGUACGGAACGAAAAGGCUCUGGUUAAUACCUGGGGCUCAUGACGGUACCGUAAGAAUAAGCACCGGCUAACUACGUGCCAGCAGCCGCGGUAAUACGUAGGGUGCAAGCGUUAAUCGGAAUUACUGGGCGUAAAGCGUGCGCAGGCGGUUUUGUAAGACAGACGUGAAAUCCCCGGGCUCAACCUGGGAAUGGCGUUUGUGACUGCAAAGCUGGAGUGCGGCAGAGGGGGAUGGAAUUCCGCGUGUAGCAGUGAAAUGCGUAGAUAUGCGGAGGAACACCGAUGGCGAAGGCAAUCCCCUGGGCCUGCACUGACGCUCAUGCACGAAAGCGUGGGGAGCAAACAGGAUUAGAUACCCGGGUAGUCC
rnacentral:rRNA from 1 species